ACACGACUACAUUAGAUACCCCGGUAGUCCCAGCCCUAAACGAUGCGCGUUAGGUGUAUCGGUGACCACGAGUCACCGAGGUGCCGAAGGGAAACCGUGAAACGUGCCGCCUGGGAAGUACGGUCGCAAGGCUGAAACUUAAAGGAAUUGGCGGGGAGCACCACAGCGGGUGGAGCCUGCGGUUUAAUUGGACUCAACGCCGGGAAGCUCACCGGAUAAGACAGCGGAAUGAUUGCCGGGCUGAAGACCCUGCAUGACCAGCUG
rnacentral:rRNA from 1 species